rnacentral:rRNA from 1 species
AACGAACGCUGGCGGCAGGCCUAACACAUGCAAGUCGAGCGAGGACUUCGGUUCUAGCGGCGGACGGGUGAGUAACGCGUGGGAAUGUGCCCUUCUCUACGGAAUAGCCCUGGGAAACUGGGAGUAAUACCGUAUACGCCCUAUUGGGGAAAGAUUUAUCGGAGAAGGAUCAGCCCGCGUUGGAUUAGGUAGUUGGUGGGGUAAUGGCCUACCAAGCCGACGAUCCAUAGCUGGUUUGAGAGGAUGAUCAGCCACACUGGGACUGAGACACGGCCCAGACUCCUACGAGAGGCAGCAGUGGGGAAUCUUAGACAAUGGGGGCAACCCUGAUCAAGCCAUGCCGCGUGAGUGAUGAAGGCCUUAGGGUUGUAAAGCUCUUUCAGCUGGGAAGAUAAUGACGGUACCAGCAGAAGAAGCCCCGGCUAACUCCGUG